rnacentral:lncRNA from 1 species
GGGGUGGAUCGCCUUCUUCCCCUCAUCCAUUCCUCGCCGGCGGUGAUACUCACCGUCACCUGCACAAGAAGAAAAACACACAAGCCAGUCGAUUUUAUUUUUUCAUUUUUACAGAUCUGCUUUUGAAAUCCCUUUUCUUCUCCUCCGGAGAUGAUCCUGCUGUGAAGGAGGGCCUUUACUUUGGUGGCCAUGAUCUUCUGUGAACGUGGGAUGCUCCACGGUGGACGAUCUGGCGGCGAGAAGGUGUGACAACCGCGAGGGGGUGGCGCUGCUGGGGGAACACGGCGCUGCUGCACAAGGAUGGGGUCGUCGCUGCUGUCGUUUCCCCGUUGUUCUCUAUUUCCAGCGGUGGGUUUCUUCUUCUGCCGAUGGCAGAUCUUGUUGCUGCUGUCGUUUGGCCGGCCGGGUGGAGAAAAUCAGAGGACCAUUAGGGGGGAGUUGUGGUGGUUUAGCCAAGGGACGGAGGAACGGCUGAGGGGGAGCUGGUUCGGUGGCUGCGAUGGGUGAAGUGGAGGUCUGGUGGAGGUGCUGCUGUGGUCGGCCAGGAGAGGCAGGGGAGACAACGGAGAGAACCGGUGAAGGCCGGCGACGGGGCUGUUGGGGUCGGCUGUGAGAGGGCUGAGAAGAAGGGAAAAUUCUGAGCCUUGGGGGAAAGGCCUGGCCGCCGGUUGGAGAAGAAAAAAAUGAAGGUGGGGGGCUGGCGGCUAGUUUCUUUUUUUUCGUCCGGGAGAGGAAGAGAACUUUAGUUUUUUUAGGGUUUUUUCCCCUUGUGUUUCCUCUCCCUCUAUUACAAAAUCGCCCCCCCUUUCUACCUUAAGUUUCCAACCUAUAUUUAUAGGUAAAAGUUGCCCGGGUAUCAAAAUUGGUCCCUCAACUUUCUUUUUUUUGUAAAUUUUGUUUUUUCUUGUUUUUUUUUAAAAAUGAGCAAAAUCAACAUCAAUUUUAUGAGAAAAAUAAUUAUUUUAAAAUGACGCGUGAAAAGUCGAACGCGUUCAAAAAAACAAUUGAAAAUUAAAAUUCUUUUUUGAAGAUGUUGAAAAUGCUAAAAACAUUGCAAAUAUAUUAAAAACAUAUUUUUUUGGAUUUUUGUUGUUUUUCACUAUUUUUGGAUUUUUCGAAAAAUUUAUUAAAAAGGUGGGUCAAAAUUGGGUAACAACAGAUGUCCCCUCUUUACAAUGCUUACGAAGCAAAACUCCUCAAUGUUUUGCAUAGUAAGCUUUGUAAAGAAAAGAAAAAGAAAAUGAUCUUAUUAUCUUGGGCGACAUGCCCCUUUUGAAGAAAAAGUGGUCUAUUUUCAGGGGCGACCGGCCCACACAAUCACACUGGUCUACUUUCACGGGCGACCUGCCCACAUAUACUCAAAGUGGUCUAUUUUCAGGGGCGACCUGCCCACACACUCACACUGGUCUAUUUUCACGGGCGACCUGCCCACACAUACUCACUCUGGUCUAUUUUCAAAGGGCGACCUUCCCUUUUGAUUGGUUUACCUGAGAUCCCAUCUGGCGAUCUAACAAGAACAAAAACCGGUGUGUAACUCGGUUACCCUGAAAUCCCAUCUAGUGAUUCCCUUUAACUAGAGUCGUUGUGUGGUUAGACUGAACUGAGAUCCCUUCGUCGAUCCCCUUCAACCAGAACCAAAAUCCUUUCCAAUUAGGUUAAACUGAGAUCUCUUUGCCGAUCCCCUUUAACCAUAACCAAGGUCUGUGUGGUUGGGCUGAACUGAGAUCCCUUCACCGAUCCCCUUCAACCAGAACCAAAAUCCUUUCCAAUUAGGUUAAACUGAGAUCCAUUCGUCGAUCCCUUUUAACCAUAACCAAGGAAUGUGUAGGGUUGGGCUAGACUGAGAUUCCUUUUGGCAAUCCCCUCUAACCAGAACCAAAAUCCUUUCCAAUUAGGUUAAACUAAGAUCCCUUCGUCGAUCCCCUUUAACCAUAACCAAGGAAUGUGUAGGGUUGGGCUAGACUGAGAUUCCUUUCGGCAAUCCCCUCUAACCAGAACCAAAAUCCUUUCCAAUUAGGUUAAACUAAGAUCCCUUCGUCGAUCCCCUUUAACCAUAACCAAGGAAUGUGUAGGUUGGGCUAGACUGAGAUUCCUUUCGGCAAUCCCCUCUAACCAGAACCAAAAUCUGUGUGUGGUUGGGAUAGACUGAGAUUCCUUUCGGCAAUCCCCUCUAACCAGAACCAAAAUCCUGUGUGUGGUUGGGAUAGACUGAGAUUCCUUUCGGCAAUCCCCUCUAACCAGAACCAAAAUCCUGUGUGGUUGGGAUAGACUAAGAUUCCUUUCGGCAAUCCCCUCUAACCAGAACCAAAAAACCUGUGUGUGUGACUUGGUCAACCUGAAAUCCCAUAUGGAGAUUCCCUUUAACCAAAGCUACAUGAGAUCCCAUCUGGCGACCUCAUUCAACUGGAACAAAAGAAUGUGUAAAAAGUGGUCUCAUUAUAAUGGGUGACCUACCCAAGUGGAAAGGAGGAAGAAUGGUCUCAUUCUUAUGGGUGACCUACCCAGAUAGAAAGAAUGUGAAGUGCGGUCUCAUUGUAAUGGGUGACCUACCCAAAAAGGAAAAAAAAAUAUGAAGUGUGGUCUCAUUGUAAUGGGUGACCUACCCAAAUGGAAGAUGUGAUAUGACAAGUGUGAAAAAUAGGACUUACCUGGCGAAGUCCUGAGGGGAUGACAGAGGAAGGGCUGGAAAACUUGGUGCUUCCUGAUAAUUCCCAAUCAUAGGAUUUGACAACUCGGUGUUUCCUGACUGCAAGAGUUGAAAACUCGAGGCUUCCCGAUUGCAAGGUUGAUCUCUUCAUUUCUUUGGGAUUUUCCUGUAACAAUUGAAAAGUAUGUGCAAAUGGUUUUUUUUUUUUUAGAGGUUAGAUGAUAUGCAUGCAUCCUUACCUGAUUUGAAAUAUAGGUCCCCCCUCUUUGAUGCUCCAUCGUCAUAGGGUGCCCUUGUUUGCAUCCCAAAGCUUUCUUUGUUCUUCCGAUGCAUUGGCUCAUUCAUGUGCUAGCCAUCCACUCAACUGUAAAUGCAGUGCCCAUCCCGGGGUGUCUUCGACAAUUACUGCUUGCAUCGUUCAUCAAGCUUGACCCUGCCCCCAAGUGUGGUACUGCUUGAUUCAUCAUGAAGGAUUCUCUCUCUUAGCUUCUUCUGAGAAUUAUCCUCUGAUUGAUUGUGUGCAUCAUGCCAAUACCCAUCAAGAUUGUUAAUCAGUCAUGAACUGGCCUUUAGUUGAAACAGUAUUCUUCAAGUACAUGUUAUCAUCAGCCUUCUUGGAACUCAUUCAGUCAUCUAGUCAUGCAUCUCAUAGCUUCUAGUACAAAGGCUCAUGGUUGUAUGCUCAGUGUUCUUCUCAGUAGAUUCCCUUCAACUCUUCUAAUCAGAUUUGUGAAAAGAUAUGUCUGGCCUCAUCAAUGAUGCUGCUUUUAUCACCAUACUCAUGCGGUGAAGUGCUCAUCUGGCUUCAAAACAAAUUAUCCCACACAGUCAGUCUUCGGGGUGGGUGCCUUUCUGACAUUCAUUCAAUGCAGUUGCGUGGUAACGUCUGUCGAUAACCAUGUUUCAAAGGAUGACAAUAUGAGAUUGUCCUUCAAGUGCAGCAAUGUUCCACAAUCAGUCCUGGUGGUGCAUAUGUUCGAUGUUCAUUUAAAUGCACUCACCCGAUAACAUCUGUCAGGAGUCAUAGCCAUGUUUCAGAGGGUGACCCAAGAUAAAGAUAUGAAAAUAUCCUUCAAGUGCAGCGUUGCUCAUCAAUUGCUGUUGAAGUUCACUAAAUCAUGGAUUGUCUUUGAACAACAUUGCCCCUAGUUGAUCUGAACAUGCUCAUUCUUCUUUUUACAACCAAAUGGAUUUUGUGAAUGCCAGGAAUGACUUUGAUGGCCUUUGAUGACUCAUUAUGUGAUUCUUUCUUUGCCCCCAGCUGAUCUGGAUACUGUUUGUUUUCCUUCUUAAGGUCCACUGUAUUGCCCCCAGCUGCUCAACUUUUCAAGGAGUGUCGAGGACUUCAAUGUCAUUUCUAUCAACGAUUUUGCAUACUCAAUCUAUGUUCUUCAGUGUUUGAUAAUCUUCCUUGUUCUGGAAUCAACUUUCAUAUUUCAAAGAUCAUGUCUAUUCAAAGUCUAGUUUGUUGAGAUGAAAUCAGAGACCCAAUGUAGGAUUAAAAUGGCUUUUCCAUGGUUCUUUGUAUCAAUUUGAAUCCUUGAUAUUAGGUAUAUCAUUUGAUAGUCUAUGAUGAGGUGACCUUUUUUUAUGAAUUUCAAAAGCAAGGCACCCAAGUCAACACUUAGGCUUUAUCAAGAAAGAUUAUUUCUUUUCUUAGCACUUGUUUUAUCAGCAUGCAUAAUAACCAAUAGCUUAAUUCAUGAAGUCACGACCCUUAUGGAAAAGCUCUUCAAGUUUUGAGAGCGCCAUUUAUCGGUUCAAAUUGCUUACUUGAUUAAAAAGGGCUUUUAAAAGCACGUAAUGCAGGCUAUGGUUCAUGGCUAUGAAAGAAAGGAAUUUCAAAGGCUCAAAAGGUGUUUGAGGGUUUCAAAGACCUAGGAUCAACAUCAACUAUUCAUCAACUCUUUUCUAUUGUUGUCUUUGUAGAGGAAACGACAUAUAACCUUGUUAACCUCACAGUUCAGACUUUUCUUAACAUAAGUCAAUGCAAAUCCACCUUUCCUUGAUGAAUAACCAACCUUAAGCAUCUGAUAACAUCGUAGGCUUUAUAAUAGAAACCAAAAGUCACGUUUACACCUUAGUCUUUUUUUCUGGUAUUGACUUUUGUUGUGUCCUUCCUUGAUUGAAAUUUUUUUUGCUCUUCAUAGACUUGAUAGGCAUUCUCUUCCUUUAUCUUUGACUUGUCUUUAAGUGAAGGCAAUUUCCUUCUUCUUCUUCUUUUUCUUUUUUUUUUUUUUCAUCAUAGCCUUCCUAAAAAUUCUAUAUGCCCCCAGUCUAUGUUUUCUUUUAGCUCUCUCUCAAUCAUUGGACUUUGUUCUAAGCCUUCCCCUUUAUCCAUUAAUGAUAUCAAUUCUUCAAAAUAUCUCUCAUCUGCCCCCAGUGUGGGGUGUGAUCCUAGUCAGGUUUUCAUGAAAAAUAUUUUAUCCAGCUCAAAAUGGGACUACAAGGGAUAUAAUCUUUAGAAAGUGAAGGGAUAUCAAAAUGGCCUUUUCUCAUUUCAAGCAAGGUCGGUUAGAACCGAUAAAUUUUGACCCCAUCCAGUGUAAUGAUUGGGACUUGUAAGAAUCAUGAUUCACGAGUCCAUAACUACCGAAUCCACUACAUGUCAUUAUGCAUACUGCUAAAACAUAGCUAUAUGAUGUGUGGUUCAGUUUCAGGAGGUAUGAGUUCAAAAUUGUUUAGUCACCUCGUAUCAUUUUCAAGCAUCAAGUCAUUUCUGUAAUCAAAACACUUUUAAUCUUCAAGAUUGAUUAGCCUUUAUUGCAUGUUGGAGUUUGAUCAAAAUAUUUUAUCAGAAUAAAAUGCUAAACAUCUAUUGAUUUCAAAACAACAAAGAGACAAAAGCAAGGCAUGUUUCGUUGAAGGAUGAGAUGUGAUCCCAAAACAAAAUGCAGAAUUCCAUAACAAUAUGAUUGAUUGUUCAUCACCAUUCUUGAAUCAGCUUUUCUGGCAAUAUCUGUUUUUUUGCCAAGCAUUUUCGAUCACAUGUCAUUCUGAUGAUGUUCAGGGAACAAUAUAGCCAAUGACACCUUCCUUUGCAAGCUCCACUUGUCCCUUUCUCACCAACUUUCAGACUCGCUUCUUGAAAUUCUUGCAAUUGCUCAAUUGAAAUGGUUGAGGACCCCAUCAUGACAUCACAUCUCUUGUCUGGAAAUAAACCACCCAGAAAAUGGUGGUUGCAUGGGAUUUUUCGGAGUUAGGUAAAAGUCUGGAAUCUAGCAGAUGCUGGCAAAUAAACUCACAUGACAACUAUUCAAUUGAAAUUCUUGCAACUAUUCCAUUGAAAUGGUCGAGGACCCCACCAUCACAUCACAUCUCUUGUCUGGAUUGAACCACCUGGAAAAUAGUGGUUACAUGAGAUUUGUCGGAGUCACGCAAAAUUCUGGAAUCUGGCAGAUGCUGGUCGACAAACUUAAGUGGCAGAGGAAUGUCAAUCUUGGCAAAGACAUUUGAGCAAUUGAUGCUACCGUGAGACCUGGCUAGACCACAUAAUUAAGGUUGCACACUAUCAAAGUCAUCUCCUGAUUCACCUCUCAUCAUUGUUCUGGAAUCCAUGGCAGAUCCUUCAAUCUUUCCUCUCUUCAUAGCUUGUUCAAAUCUUCGGCAAAUUCUCAUAACAUCAUUUCAAUCUUCCAAUGUUGUUGUGGUUGGUUGAGGAUUGUUAGAAAAUUUUCCCACAGCUUGGUAAUCUUGGCAGCGCCCAGAAACUUGUAGUAUCGCCACUACCGCCACGUGGAAUCAUGCCUUAUCUCUUCUAUGGGAAAGAGAAUCUAUGGGAAUGAUGAACAUGAAUCUCCUCUAUUUCUUCUUCGAUUCCUCUUGAACGGUGCAGCAAACAAGCACUAAUAGAGGGAGUUCUGCUCUGUGGAAGUUUCAGUCUUCUUCAUGUUUUUCAGUCUAGGCAUGUCUCUUCUCUCUACUUUUGCGUUUUAAUACUGACACUGUUGGAGGAAAAUCAUAGAUGAUCUGAAACUACUGUAUUCCUUCUUGGAUUUCCCACUUGCGGAUCCACAAACAGAUUCCUGUUGAGAGAGCUUUGCUACGUUGAAUUUUGAUGUCUGCUCAUAUUUUCAGACCAAAUCUGGCUCUUCAACAUGCUACAGUUUCUUCGUGCUGAAACUGACGAGAGAAAUAUUUGUAGCAUAUGCAAUUAGUAAAUCCUCUCUUGCACUCUCAACUUGCAGCAUCAUAAACAGAGUUUUGUAGAGAGAGCUCUGCCAUGUUGAAGUUCGACGACUACUCAUAUUUUCAGACCAGGCUUGACUCCUCUGCUUAUUACAAUGUUUUGCUGGUGCCACUAGUGGGAAAAAGUUUCAAAGCAUAUGAACUUGAUACAUCCUCUUUUGCAUUUCCCAUUGGCAGAUCCACAAAUAAAUCUCUACAGAAAAAGCUCUACCACAUUGAAGUUCGCAUUUCCCAUUGGCAGAUCCACAAAUAAAUCUCUACAGAAAGCUCUACCACGUUGAAGUUCAGUGUCUGAUCAUGGUUUUUUAUACCAACAUCUUGUGCUGCUGAACUGGAAUUGAGCUCAUAAUUAGGGUAACUUCAAAGCAAAUUAAUUUGCUAGUAGUCGUUUGGUUCAUUAGAUGAUGUGGAGGCAUUAACACUUAAGAGUGCAACUGGACAGGAAUCCGAGUUGUCAUUAGUUGAUGACUGAAGGCAUUGUUGCUGUUGUUCAUGACUGAAAAGGAGAGGCAGCUUCAAUUGGACGUGGACAAGCAGUGUUCCCACAGAAGACUGUGCAGACAUUCUCUUUCCAUUUAAAUACUCAACACUUGUUCAAGCAAAUCUGAGUCUUAGCUGUUUCACCUUUGAUGCUCUCAACUCCUUUGUUCACUUCCCUCAUCUUUUCAAAUCACGUGCAGCACAGCUUGUGGGGGACCUACCUUUCAACCCGCUACAUGCAUGAAAUGUAUGAAUAUGUAAUCUAUAUGACGAACUCGCCCUUCGAGGGGUGACAUAUGGUCGCAACUCUUGUAUGAUGAAACAAGAAUCUUGAUUCUUGCACAAACUCUACAAUGAAAAUUUUCUGAGCGACGGUCAUUGUGUCACCUAUAAGUCUGGAGUUCAAGAUGCUUCAAGAAGGGCUUGCUCGGAUACAAAACCAUGUCUACGGAGUAUACAUCCUAAAAACAAGUUCUAAUUUUUGUAAGUGAGACAAAAGGGAGGUUUACUAUUUGGUCUCUAAAAAAGGUCUCUUGUUGUCCCAGUGAUCGCCCUCGUGGAGGCAAUAUGGGGGCUUGUAGGUAGUGAGAUGGCACGUGUCCAACUAUUACCAGUCUAAGCACUCAACGAAGAGUUGGGGUUUACACAAACUUAAACCUUGACUAAAAGUCAUAAGGUAAGCUGCUAGUCCCCCUCCUAACCUGAAGCUUGUGUGUGCUUUUAAAAAAAUUAACUAUGUGAUGCAUGAGAUAAUUCUACAAAAUGCAUGGAUAAAACAAAUAAUAAAAAACACAAAAAGCAAAAACAUACACAUCAAAUAUACAAAGCUUAGUCUAAUAAUGUUGAAAACAAUACCAUCCCCAGUGGAGUCGCCAAUCUGUCGCACCCCAAAAAAAUCCUGGCGCGGCAUCGGCUGGCGAUUAUUAGUUCUGUUUUGCUGAUUUGGUUCUUUGGAGUCGCCACCUAGUAAUUCAUUGAGGGCUACUAGGAAACCUGAUGUACUGGUCUUGUCAGAGAUCGCGGGUAAGGGACUGGUUGUGGUUAGGGAAGGUAUUAGCACCCCUAACGCACCCUACCUAGGUAAGCUGCUUUGUGGACUUGAUGUGUUAAAAAAUUUCUGUUCUUUCAUCGAAUUUUAGAAAAUACAACUUACAUGUAAGUUCAUGAUUCUUUAUCCGUGAUUAAAUCGGAAUAUUAAAUUCUUCUUUAUUCUUGCAAUUUUAUCAUAAAAAAAAACAUACACACCACAUUCACUUUCAAGCUUCGUGGUCUUGAUGUGAUAUUAAAAAUAAAAUUUUAGCCCAAUUCUAAGGCUUUGAUAAAUCAGUUAUUACUUUUCCAGACUAUAUGUAGAUACAUGUUCUACAUUUCCAUGGAAAAUUCAACAUGAUUUUUAUCUGUCCUUUAGAUAUUUGUGACUAUAAAUUAAAUUCUUUUUUUUAUUUUUAAUAAUACAUAAAAAAAAAAAUUACAAUCACACACAAACAUUCUUUUUCUUUUUUUAUUAUCACUUUCUCUUUCUUUUCUUUUCUUUUCUUUUACAUUUACAUCCACAUUUACAUAAUACAAAUAAAAAUUCAAAACCAAAUAAAAAAAAUACAUCAAACAAAUUUUAAAUUACAAAACAGCCCCUAAACAAUCUAGAAACCACUUAUGCACCUCCAGAACAGUGUUCAACAGGAGUUCUGGGCACAGGGACAGUGGCGGCGCGUGGAUCCCACGCACCACCGCCACUGGCGGCGCGUGGUUCACGCGCCGCCAUAGAGAAAAAAAACAGCAGCGGGGGGUGGAUCGCCUUCUUCCCCUCAUCCUUUCCUCGCCGGCGGUGAUACUCACCGUCACCUGCACAAGAAGAAAAACACACAAGCCAGUCGAUUUUAUUUUUUCAUUUUUACAGAUCUGCUUUUGAAAUCCCUUUUCUUCUCCUCCGGAGAUGAUCCUGCUGUGAAGGAGGGCCUUUACUUUGGUGGCCAUGAUCUUCUAUGAACGUGGGAUGCUCCACGGUGGACGAUCUGGCGGCGAGAAGGUGUGACAACCGCGAGGGGUGGCGCUGCUGCACAAGGAUGGGGUCGUCGCUGCUGUCGUUUCCCCGUUGUUCUCUAUUUCCAGCGGUGGGUUUCUUCUUCUGCCGAUGGCAGAUCUUGUUGCUGCUGUCGUUUGGUCGGCCGGGUGGAGAAAAUCAGAGGACCAUUAGGGGGGAGUUGUGGUGGUUUAGCCAAGGGACGGAGGAACGGCUGAGGGGGAGCUGGUUCGGUGGCUGCGAUGGGUGAAGUGGAGGUCUGGUGGAGGUGCUGCUGUGGUCAGCCAGGAGAGGCAGGGGAGACAACGGAGAGAACCGGUGAAGGCUGGCGACGGGGCUGUUGGGGUCGGCUGUGAGAGGGCUGAGAAGAAGGGAAAAUUCUGAGCCUUGGGGGAAAGGCCUGGCCGCCGGUUGGAGAAGAAAAAAAUGAAGGUGGGGGGCUGGCGGCUAGUUUCUUUUUUUUCGUCCGGGAGAGGAAGAGAACUUUAGUUUUUUUAGGGUUUUUUCCCCUUGUGUUGCCUCUCCCUCUAUUACAAAAUCG